rnacentral:rRNA from 1 species
GAUGAACGCUAGCGGAAGGCUUAAUACAUGCAAGUCGAGCGGUAGAAUAGACUUCGGUUUAUUUGAGAGCGGCGCACGGGUGAGUAACGCGUACAUGACCUACCCAUAAGAACGGGAUAGCCCUGGGAAACUGGGAUUAAUACCGUAUGUGAUUAAAGAUGUUAGAGGUUUUUAAUUAAAGCUCCGGCGCUUAUGGAUGGAUGUGCGUCUGAUUAGCUAGUUGGUGAGGUAACGGCUCACCAAGGCGACGAUCAGUAGGGGGCGUGAGAGCGUGAUCCCCCACACGGGUACUGAGACACGGACCCGACUCCUACGGGAGGCAGCAGUAAGGAAUAUUGGACAAUGCUCGCAAGAGUGAUCCAGCCAUUCCGCGUGCAGGAUGACUGCCCUAUGGGUUGUAAACUGCUUUUAGAUGGGAAGAAAGUUCGACAUUUAUGUUGUUUUGACGGUACCAUCAGAAUAAGCACCGGCUAACUCCG